CAAACAGGUGCCCCGCACAUGCGGAGAGAAUAGGGAAGACGGGUGAGAAUCCCGCACGGUCACGCCGCUGUAUCGGAGGAGUGCCGCUUACAUAUCAGCCACUGCACACGCGGGAAGGCAAAGCGGUACAGAGAGUCCCAAGUCAGAAUACCUGCCUGCUUGCA
rnacentral:ncRNA from 1 species